CAACUUGAGAGUUUGAUCCUGGCUCAGAAUGAACGCUGGCGGCAGGCCUAACACAUGCAAGUCGAACGAAGGCCCGGAGCUUGCUCCGGAUACCUUAGUGGCGGACGGGUGAGUAACACGUGGGAAUUUGCCCUUCAGUACGGAACAACUCUCGGAAACGGGAGCUAAUACCGAAUACGCCCUACGGGGGAAAGAUUUAUCGCUGAAGGAUGAGCCCGCGCCGGAUUAGCUAGUUGGUGAGGUAAUGGCUCACCAAGGCGACGAUCCGUAGCUGGUUUGAGAGGAUGAUCAGCCACACUGGGACUGAGACACGGCCCAGACUCCUACGGGAGGCAGCAGUGGGGAAUAUUGGACAAUGGGGGCAACCCUGAUCCAGCCAUGCCGCGUGAGUGAUGAAGGCCUUAGGGUUGUAAAGCUCUUUCAGUGGGGAAGAUGAUGACGGUACCCACAGAAGAAGCCCCGGCUAACUCCGUGCCAGCAGCCGCGGUAAUACGGAGGGGGCAAGCGUUAUUCGGAUUUACUGGGCGUAAAGCGCGCGUAGGCGGUCUGUUUAGUCAGGCGUGAAAGCCCUGGGCUCAACCCAGGAACUGCGUUUGAAACUGGCAGACUAGAGUUCGGGAGAGGAGAGUGGAAUUCCCAGUGUAGAGGUGAAAUUCGUAGAUAUUGGGAAGAACACCAGUGGCGAAGGCGGCUCUCUGGACCGGUACAGACGCUGAUGUGCGAAAGCGUGGGGAGCAAACAGGAUUAGAUUCCCUGGUAGUCCACGACGUAAACGAUGAGUGCUAGACGUCGGGAGGCAUGCCUUUCGGUGUCGCAGCUAACGCAUU
rnacentral:rRNA from 1 species